UACACUCCUGCGGGAGGCAGCAGUGGGGAAUAUUGGACAAUGGGCGCAAGCCUGAUCCAGCCAUGCCGCGUGAGUGAUGAAGGCCCUAGGGUUGUAAAGCUCUUUCACCGGUGAAGAUAAUGACGGUAACCGGAGAAGAAGCCCCGGCUAACUUCGUGCCAGCAGCCGCGGUAAUACGAAGGGGGCUAGCGUUGUUCGGAUUUACUGGGCGUAAAGCGCACGUAGGCGGACUAUUAAGUCAGGGGUGAAAUCCCGGGGCUCAACCCCGGAACUGCCUUUGAUACUGGUAGUCUUGAGUUCGAGAGAGGUGAGUGGAAUUCCGAGUGUAGGGGUGAAAUUCGUAGAUAUUCGGAGGAACACCAGUGGCGAAGGCGGCUCACUGGCUCGAUACUGACGCUGAGGUGCGAAAGCGUGGGGAGCAAACAGGAUUAGAUACCCCUGUAGUCCC
rnacentral:rRNA from 1 species